rnacentral:rRNA from 1 species
AGCGAACGCUGGUGGCAGGCCUAACACAUGCAAGUCGAACGAACUCUUCGGAGUUAGUGGCGGACGGGUGAGUAACACGUGGGAACGGGCCUUUUGGUUCGGAAUAACUCAGGGAAACUUGUGCUAAUACCGAAUGUGCCCUUCGGGGGAAAGAUUUAUCGCCAUUAGAGCAGACCGCGUCUGAUUAGAUAGUUGGGGAGGUAAAAGCACGCCAAGGCGACGAUCAGUAGCUAGUCUGAGAGGAUGACCAGCCACUCUGGGACUGAGACCCGGCCGAGACUCCGCCGUGUGGCACCGCUCGCGAAUGUUGCGCAAUCGGCGAAAGCCUGACGCAACUAUGCCGCGUGAAUGAUGAAGGUCUUAGGAUUGUAAAAUUCUUUCGCCGGUGGCGAUAAUGACGGUGCCCGGAGAAGAUGCCCCGGCUACCUUCGUGCCAGCAGCCGCCUUGA